rnacentral:rRNA from 1 species
GACGAACGUUGGCGGCGUGCUUAAUACAUGCAAGUCAACUGAAGCAGUGGUAGCAAUAUCGCUGUGGAGGUGGCGCACGGGUGAGUAACACGUAGGUAAUCUGCCUUCAGGUCUGGCAUAACUCCGGGAAACCGGGGCUAAUAGCAGAUGAUGCAGCGGCUCGACAUCGAGACAGUUGUUAAAGCUAUGGCGCCUGAAGAUGAGCCUGCGUCUGAUUAGCUAGUUGGCGGGGUAACGGCCCACCAAGGCAACGAUCAGUAGCUGGUCUGAGAGGAUGAUCAGCCACACUGGAACUGAGACACGGUCCAGACUCCUACGGGAGGCAGCAGUAAGGAAUAUUGCUCAAUGGGAGAAAUACUGAAGCAGCAACGCCGCGUGAGGGACGAAGGGAUUUUGCUUGUAAACCUAUGUAGUGAGAGAAAAAAAUCCCAAUCUUUGGGACAUGAUGGUAUCUCAAAAGUAAGCCCCGGAUAACUACGUG